GUGCCUACGUUAGCAGCACCUGGCUCCCUUAGAGCCUACGGCCCAUAAACUAAGGGUGUAAAUGCCAUCACCCCGAACACUUUCUCAGUUCCGCCUCACACCCAGAAGCUCUGUUUAAGAGCUGAGAACUGAAGUGGAGAGCCCCACUGUGGGCAUUUAGAAGAGGGGAGCGGAGAAGUACCAAAGCUGAAUAGUGACUGAAGCACUACACUCCCCAAAUCAGUAUCUGUUCUCGCUGCAGAGUCAAGAGCUCUUUGAAGGCAAUAUGCUCAGAGAUAAAGAGUUGUUGUUGAACUGAGAAACCCUCCCAAGUUACAGAUGAUCACACAGGAGGAACAGUGCCCUGCCAUCACAAUUGAGUCACUGGCUUGCAGCCUGACUGUGCCAAACGUCUCCCCUGCUGAAGUCUUUGCGUCUGGAUCUGCUAAGGAAGGAGGAGACAGCUGAAGAAGGAGCAGGGAAAGGAAGUAGUGCCGCAGAUUCCCAAAGAUCUACAGACUGUCCAAUUAGCUCGCAGCAAAGGUAAUACAGCAAACCGCUA